AGGACGAACGCUGGCGGCGUGCCUAACACAUGCAAGUCGAACGGAGAUAGGUUGAAAGCUUGCUGGAUACUUAUCUUAGUGGCGGACGGGCGAGUAACGCGUGAGCAACCUGCCCCAGACUGGGGGAUAACGUCGGGAAACCGGCGCUAAUACCGCAUAACACUGCGAAGCCGCAUGGUUUUGCAGUCAAAGCUCCGGCGGUUUGGGAUGGGCUCGCGUCCAAUUAGCUAGUUGGUGAGGUAACGGCCCACCAAGGCGACGAUUGGUAGCCGAACUGAGAGGUUGAUCGGCCGCAUUGGGACUGAGACACGGCCCAGACUCCUACGGGAGGCAGCAGUGGGGAAUAUUGCGCAAUGGGGGAAACCCUGACGCAGCAACGCCGCGUGGAGGAAGAAGGUCUUCGGAUUGUAAACUCCUGUCUUCUGGGACGAAGUAUGACGGUACCAGAGGAGGAAGCCACGGCUAACUACGUG
rnacentral:rRNA from 1 species